rnacentral:rRNA from 1 species
UAGGGAAUAUUGCACAAUGGGGGGAACCCUGAUCCAGCGACGCCGCGUGAGUGAAGAAGUAUCUCGGUAUGUAAAGCUCUAUCAGCAGGGAAGAAAGAAAUGACGGUACCUGAGUAAGAAGCCCCGGCUAACUACGUGCCAGCAGCCGCGGUAAUACGUAGGGGGCAAGCGUUAUCCGGAAUUACUGGGUGUAAAGGGAGCGUAGACGGAUCUGCAAGUCUGGAGUGAAAGCCCGGGGCUCAACCCCGGGACUGCUUUGGAAACUGUGGAUCUAGAGUGCCGGAGAGGUAAGCGGAAUUCCUAGUGUAGCGGUGAAAUGCGUAGAUAUUAGGAGGAACACCAGUGGCGAAGGCGGCUUACUGGACGGUAACUGACGUUGAGGCUCGAAAGCGUGGGGAGCAAACAGGAUUAGAUACC